rnacentral:lncRNA from 1 species
UUACGUGCACGAAGAAAAUUGAGCAAAUUUCUUGUAUGCCAUUAGAAAUUUAAUCCAUCCCUUACCUGACAUUAAAAUUUAGUCCAUCCCUCCAGUGCUACGGGAAAUUACGUACCAUGCCCAUCAUCCUUAUCCCAUAAAACAUCCGUAACGCCGCUAAACCGUUUCGCUCAUCCACUGUUGUUCCAACUUUACCCUUCCGCGUCCUUUUCCAACAGACCAACACCAUCGACCGCACAUCUUCUUCAUUUCUUUCCCCAAAUCGGCGGGCCUUCUCCAAACCCUAGCCACCGCCGCGGGCCAAUCCAACAGAGUGCGCUCGGCCGGCGGCCCGCUCCGCGGUCUCCCCCUCCUCCAGUCGCGACCCGCACGUGCGCCGCGCGCAGGGGCUCCCGCGGAGGAGGCGCUCGCAGGGCCCCGUCCUCCCGCCCGUCCUCUCCCAUCCUCGCAGGGGCUCUCCGCGCAGGGGCUGGGUCGCUGCCGCCCGCCACUCUCGUCGCCCGGACCCGCCCCCUCCGCCCGUCCCUGGAAUCGGCGGCGCUCCCUGGAAUCGGUGGCUCAGGACCUGCUUGCCUGCAGAGCUGCGCCACUCCCUAGAUAUGGUCUGAGGGAAACCAGCCUGUGUGAUCUGAAUUUCUAGUUGAUUCAGUUCAUUUAGUGUGGCGCUUCCUAUUUUGCUUGGUGCUUUAACAAAACCAAAGCUACUGUUAUUUUGUUGGGCUUAUGUGAACUAUUAGGUGCUGUUACUUUCCCUGUAUGGCUGCUUGUAUGGACAGCAAAGGCUGAUGGCAAUGAUGCUUGUAUGAACAUCAAUGGCUACUUGUAUGGACAAAAAUGAUGCUUGACAUCAAUGUUUGCUUGUAUGGCUGCUUGUCUAUGGAUGCUUAUCAUGUGGAGACGUAUGGACAUCACAACUUGCAAUGAUCAGUAAAUGUGUUUUAAUUUUGUUUGUCUAUGCAUAUGUAUUGGUACAGAUUUGUGUUCUUGCUUGCAAUGGCGUAGAAGGGAUAGUAAGGGAAUGUUUCAUCUUUGCUACUAGGGGUAACAUUGUCUUUUCAGCAGUCACUUAACAUCCAUCU